UCAAUAUUGUUUGAAAAUAUCAUGUCGAAUUUCCUAUCCAGCAGUGUCAGACAAAUAGUUGUAGAUGCUCAGUUGACCGCUCUACAUUGGAGAUAGUUGUUGCUUGGUCUCGCCUUGUCAUGGACAAGCAUGAUCAUGUACUCGAUGGUUAUUGAAGGUCCAAGCAGGGUGGUCUAAUGGAGAAAAGGUGUAAGAGCUUAAGUUAUUAAUUUAGUAAGUCUGAUGUAUCGAUAAAGCAACAUAAGUCUGAACCAAUGGCUAAUUUUUUAACUUAUGGUCUUUGAUUUUGCAAGCAGCAUUGUUUGAACCAGUA